rnacentral:tRNA from 1 species
ACCUCUGUAGCUCAGUUGGUUAGAGCGCUGCACCGGAAUCGCAGGGCCGUAGGUUCAAUUCCUACCAGAGGAC